UUGCCAGCCCGCUCAAGAAACUCAAAGGAAUUGACGGGGCCCGCACAAGCGGUGGAGUAUGUGGUUUAAUUCGAUGCAACGCGAAGAACCUUACCUGGUCUUGACAUCCCGGAGACCCUUAGGAAACUAGGGGGUGCUUCCAUCUGGAAGAAUCUGGAGACAGGUGCUGCAUGGCUGUCGUCAGCUCGUGUCGUGAGAUGUUGGGUUAAGUCCCGCAACGAGCGCAACCCUUGCCUUUAGUUGCCAGCAGUUCGGCUGGGCACUCUAAAGGGACUGCCGGUGUUAAACCGGAGGAAGGUGGGGAUGACGUCAAGUCCUCAUGGCCUUUAUGACCAGGGCUACACACGUACUACAAUGGCCGAUACAAAGGGCAGCGACACUGCGAGGUGAAGCCAAUCCCGUAAAAUCGGUCUCAGUCCGGAUUGGAGUCUGCAACUCGACUCCAUGAAGUUGGAAUCGCUAGUAAUCGUGGAUCAGCAUGCCACGGUGAAUACGUUCCCGGGCCUU
rnacentral:rRNA from 1 species